GAGGGCCACGGGGCGGCCCCGUCUCUGUUCCCGCCCCGCCGCCAAGGGCCCGGGGGCGGCACGAGUGCUGCGGGGCGGUCUGGGCUGCCCAUCACGUGCCCUAAGAGUACCGGAGGACCCCCCCCCCUCCCCUCCCCUCCGUUAUACUUUUCAAAUCUUACAGGGGGCUCUUGUCUCGUAUGGGGGCUCCCCCGCCCCCAGGCUCCUCUGGGGGUAAUUCAAACCCUGGCCUGGGUGGGCUGAGAGGGGCUGUUCAACCUCCAUCCUUGGAAGUGCUGAAGGGCAGCGUGCACACUUGGCUGAAAUGGUUUAUUUGAGCAAGCCCUUGGACUUGGGGACCUCCUGAGCUCCCUCCUAGCUCGGCUUUCCUGUGAUUUUAAGUUAGCACCAUGGGUUGCACUGGGACAGCUCAGCUUGAAGACAGGUAGAAUAAGGCUCACUGACACUAUGUCUUUUGGUUUCACAGCAGGUCUUCGAUAUUUGGUGGCACUGGCAAUGCGGAGGAGAUGCGCGUGCACCCCCUGAGCGUGGCAGCGCACCCCCUGUGAAAAGGCACCACCAACACUGUCAGCAGUUGCUGCUCGCCACCCCUCACCGCCAACACUGCUGGCAGCAUCGGCGGGCAGUCCACCAUCAUUGCUGGCUGCCGGCAGUGUCUGCAGGUAGCUGCCAACCACUGUUUCAACUUUACAAUGCUUGAUCUGAUGCAAUGCCAUGCCAGCGAACAAGUUCACUGUGUCGCUUAUAUCCCUGGAGAACAUCUGUCUAAACUUCCUUGGACACUGUCUUUAAGAAAGCAGACAAGACUCCAGAAAAACCUGCAGCCAAGACUCCUGAGAAGACUCCAGCCAAGAACCCUUCAAAAAGUCCAACCAAGAGCCCUUCAAAAAGUCCAGCAAAGUUACCUCAAAGAUGUCCUUCCAAAUCAAUGUGAUUAUAAAUACAUUAAUGUAGCUACAUUAGUCAUCUAUAAUUGAUCGAGUACAAAAUUCUGGGGGAUUUUUGGUGAAAAUAGGGUAUCGGGUCUUGGUUCAGGAACCAAUCCCCCAUUUAUAACAUUGUUUCUUAUGAGAAAAUUGGUUCCGAGUUACAACGUUUCAACUUAAGAUGCGAUUUUAAGAUGUGGUUUUCAGGAACCAAUUCUGUCAUAACUCUGAGGACUGCCUGUAUACUACAUUACAAAACUGACUGGAACUGAAAAAUACUAUGCACUUAGUUUGAUGCAUUUUAUUCAGACCUAGAUCAUAAAAUCGUAGAAUCACGGGGUUAGAAGAGGCUCCAAAGAUCAUCUAGUCCAACUCACUGCACAAAUUCAGGAUACACUUUCCUGCCUUCUCUUGAAAACAACCUACAGAGAAGUCUACAACUUUGACAUGCAGCUUGUUCCAGUGUCCUAUUCUGAUAGUGAGGAACUUUUUCUGGGAUUAAGUCUAAAACUGCCAUCAAGUCUGCCUGUAAUCGUGUCUUCUUUGAAUGAAAUGUGCCUACGUCUUCAUAUAGCUAGCCUUCCCUUUAUCAUCUUUGUUGCUCAGCUUCAGAUCUUCUCCAGUUUCUUCACAUGCUUCUUGAAUUGUGGCGCCCAAAACUACACAUAAUACAGUAGCUCAGGGGUGGCUAACCUGGGCGUUGGCAUGGCCAAGGGCAUGGGCAGCCUCUGUGUGGCACAUGGUAGAUUAGGGAGGGGUAGGCAGCACAGCAGCAGAUAGGCCAGGGAACAGAAAGCAAAGCGAGCAGAGGAAGGGCAUCAGAAUGGCACUCAUUGAAGAUGCAUGGUUUUACUUGUGGCAAGCCUGCCAAAAAAGUUGGUCCCCACUGCUGUAGCCGAUGCCUAGCCAGCUGGAUAAUUGACAUUUGUUGUUAUACAGGCAACAAAUUGGGACUAGCUUUGUGUUAUGUGGUUAAGGGAAUUGUGUGUCUAUCUGGUUUAUAUACAAAUAGAGUACAUGUACUGGAACUGACUCCUAAGACCUUGAUCCUGCAAACUAAGCAUGUGAAUAGUCCUACUGACAUCAAUUAAGUAUUCAUAUAUUUAAACUGUUAAUGACAGGUCUUCAAGUUUGCUGGGACAGAGACUAAAUGGAGGGAAAAGGUAAUGGGGUAUUUUGCUGAAAUUAAUUAAUUAAUAAAUGGUGGCUUCGAUUCUGUAGCUGACUGCAUAUACUGCUGCAUCUGUGCAGUAUAGUGGAGAAUAGCUUGCCUCAUGCAGUUAACUGCAGGUGAAGUGUGCAGGGCACAGUGUGAAAUCAAGGCCUCAAGUCAGUAGGAAUUUUGCCAGACUUCAAUGGUGCCAGAAUUUCAAUUAUGUUCUGACACAGCAAACUCUCUGAAAAAUUCUGAGUGUAACUUUUAAAUUGUUUUUCCUUUAAAAAUUAUGGAUUAAGCAAAUAAUCAUACAUGAAGACAUAUAGGGUCAAUUCCUGAACAUCUUGGUGAGUCUUCACCUCAGAAACUUUUGCUAUAGAAUAUUAAGAGCAAGGGAAAAGAUUUCCCAUGCCUAACAAGUGGAACUUAAAAAUUAAUAUCUAAAUUUUCCUAAAUGUCUUCAUAUACCAUCAAAAACUGAAGGACCUUUCAAAAUCUAAUUUAUAUUUUCUUAUCAUUUAAUUACUUUGAAGUCAUUCUUUACAGAAAAUGUAGAGUCAAUAAUGACAUUAUUUAGAUUCAAGAUUAAUAGUUAAAAAUAAAUUACAUUUUCAUGGCUUUA